ensembl:lncRNA
CGCCGCACCUGGCCCAACUAGGUGGAACAAGGCUUCCCUUGUUCUUAAAUCUUCCCAGUUGCUUAAAUGUUGAUUACCCCUAUCCCUUAUAGCUUGCUGCUGCUGCUGCUAAAUCGCUUCAGUCGUGUCUGACUCUGUGCGACCCCAUAGACGGCAGCCCACCAGGCUCCCCCGUCCCUGGGAUUCUCCAGGCAAGAACACUGGAGUGGGUUGCCAUUUCCUUCUCCGAUACAAGAAAGUGAAAAGUGAAAGUGAAGUCGCUCAGUCAUGUCUGACUCCUAGCAACCCAUGGACUGCAGCUUACCAGGCCCCUCCGUCCAUGUUUUUUCCCAGGCAAGAGCACUGGCGUGGGGUGCCAUUGCCUUCUCCGCCCUUAUAGCUUACUCGUGGCAAAUAGAUGGGGAAAAAAAAUGGAAACAGUGACAGACUUUAUUUUCUUGGGCUCCAAAAUCACUGCAGAUGGUGACUGCAGCCAUGAAAUUUUAAAAUACUUGCUCCUUGGAAGAAAAGCCACGACAAACCUAGAUAGAGUAUUAAAAAGCAGAGACAUCACUUUGCUACAAAGGUCUGUCUAGUCAAAACUAUAGUGUUUCCAGUAGUCAUGUAUAGAUGUGAGAGUUGGACCAUAAAGAAGGCUGAGCACCAAAGAAUUGAUGCUUUUGAACUGAGGUGCUGGAGAAGACUCUUGAGAGUCCCUUGAACUGCAAGGAGAUCAAAGCAGUCAAUCCUAAAGGAAAUCGACCCUGAAUAUUCAGUGGAAGGACUGAUGCUGAAGCUGAAGCUCCAAUACUUUGGCCAUCUGAUGCGAAGAACUGACUCAUUGAAAAAGACCCUGAUGCUGGGAAACAUUGAAGGCAGGAAGAGAAGGAGAUGAGAGAGGAUGAGAUGGUUGGAUGGCAUCACCAACUCAAUGGCCAUGCAUUUGAGCAAACUCCAGGAGACAGUGAAGGACAGGGAACUCUGACAUAUUGCAGUCCAUGGGGUCGCAGAGAGUCAGACGUGACUGAGCAACUGAACAGCAACAACUUAGGAUGGAAGUAAAAACCAAAAAGGAAAAAAAUACUGAAAAAAAAAAAAAAAAAGAACACAGUCUUGGAUUGAAAGGACUUUUAACAUGAGUAACACUGGCAUGUAAAUGUCUAUUUAACCAAUAACUUCUUUGUGUCAGGUAUCCUGAGAGGUGGUGGAAUUUGGGCAGUGAAUGAUUCAGCUAUAAAAAGGAAAGACACAGGAGGAUGACUACAUAAAAAGGCUGCUCCCAGAAUAUUGCUGUUCAUCAGUCACUCCAACAGCUCACCGCUUUUGCACAGCAUUUUGCAAUUUGUAUUCUAUCAAGCCAUGUAAUGAAGCACAAACAACGUCAAUCUAGCAAGAUCUAAUCAUGACUGUAACUGAAAAAUGGAUAUUAUGGUUGCCCCUGGGGACGUCUAGUCUACUUUCUGUCUCUUUGAAUUUGCCUAUAAUAGGCAUUUCUGGUUGUUGGUUCUCCAAAUGCUCUCCAGGCACCAUGUCACUGACUCCUGAGACAAGACCCACUGACUUUAGCUGGGGACACCAAGACCUAGAGAGGGAAUCCCACACUCAAGCAACACCUGUUGGACAGCUCCUGAUCAGACAUGUGCAGAGCUCAUGGGAAACACAGAUAUUAUGAAAGACGGGAUAUCCCUGGCAAUCCAGUGGCUAGGACUCUACACUUCCAAUGUAGAGGGCAAGGGUUCUAUC